rnacentral:rRNA from 1 species
UACGUAGGGCCCAAGCGUUGUCCGGAAUCAUUGGGCGUAAAGAGCGUGUAGGCGGCUUGUUAAGUCUUGCGUGAAAUCUCGGGGCUCAACCCCGAGCGGUCGUGAGAAACUGGCAGGCUAGAGUGCGGGAGAGGAGAGUGGAAUUCCUGGUGUAGCGGUGAAAUGCGCAGAUAUCAGGAAGAACACCCGUGGCGAAGGCGGCUCUCUGGAACGCAACUGACGCUGAGACGCGAAAGCGUGGGGAGCAAACAGG